UACGUAGGGUGCAAGCGUUAAUCGGAAUACUGGGCGUAAAGCGUGCGCAGGCGGUUUUGUAAGUCUGUCGUGAAAUCCCCGGGCUCAACCUGGGAAUUGCAUUUGUGACUGCACGGCUAGAGUGUGUCAGAGGGGGGUAGAAUUCCACGUGUAGCAGUGAAAUGCGUAGAGAUGUGGAGGAAUACCGAUGGCGAAGGCAGCCCCCUGGGAUAACACUGACGCUCAUGGCACGAAAGCGUGGGGAGCAAACAGG
rnacentral:rRNA from 1 species